GACGAACGCUGGCGGCGUGCCUAAUACAUGCAAGUUGAGCGCUGAAGGUUGGUACUUGUACCAACUGGAUGAGCAGCGAACGGGUGAGUAACGCGUGGGGAAUCUGCCUUUGAGCGGGGGACAACAUUUGGAAACGAAUGCUAAUACCGCAUAAAAACUUUAAACACAAGUUUUAAGUUUGAAAGAUGCAAUUGCAUCACUCAAAGAUGAUCCCGCGUUGUAUUAGCUAGUUGGUGAGGUAAAGGCUCACCAAGGCGAUGAUACAUAGCCGACCUGAGAGGGUGAUCGGCCACAUUGGGAAUGAGACACCGCCCAAACUCCUACGGGAGGCAGCAGUAGGGAAUCUUCGGAAAUGGACGAAAGUCUGACCGAGCAACGCCGCGUGAGUGAAGAAGGUUUUCGGAUCGUAAAACUCUGUUGGUAGAGAAGAACGUUGGUGAGAGUGGAAAGCUCAUCAAGUGACGGUAACUACCCAGAAAGGGACGGCUAACUACGUG
rnacentral:rRNA from 1 species